rnacentral:tRNA from 2 species
UGCGUCGGUCGCACGGCGGCCAGUGCAGCGGGCUGUCGCCCCGUGGCCUUCAGGCAUCGCAGGUUCGGGUCCUGCCGGCGCACCCA